rnacentral:rRNA from 1 species
GACGAACGCUGGCGGCGUGCUUAACACAUGCAAGUCGAACGGAAAGGCCCGGCUUUUUGGCGGUGCUCGAGUGGCGAACGGGUGAGUAACACUUGAGUAAGCUACCCCUGACGUUGGGAUAACUUCAUGAAACUUGUGCUAAUACCGGGUAGGAUCUCCUGCUGCAUGGUGGGGGUGGGUAAGUUUCGGCGGUUGGGGAUGUACUCGCGGCUUAUCAGAUUGUUGGUGGGGUAGUGGCUUACCAAGGCUUGGACAGGUAGCCGGGCUGGGAGGGUGACCGGACCAAUUGGGCUUGGGCUGAGGCACAGACUAGUAUGGGACGGAGCGGUGCGGAAUAUAGCACAGCGCGAGGAGGGAUAAUCUAGCAACGCCGCGUGGGGGAUAAGGGGAAUGGGGUUGUAAAGCGAUUUUGCUUGUGAGGAGGCGUGAGUGACGGUAAUCGGUAAAGAAGCCCCGGCUAACUACGUG